rnacentral:rRNA from 1 species
GAUGAACGCUGGCGGCGUACCUAAUACAUGCAAGUCGAGCGAACGGACGAGAAGCUUGCUUCUCUGAUGUUAGCGGCGGACGGGUGAGUAACACGUGGAUAACCUACCUAUAAGACUGGGAUAACUUCGGGAAACCGGAGCUAAUACCGGAUAAUAUUUUGAACCGCAUGGUUCAAAAGUGAAAGACGGUCUUGCUGUCACUUAUAGAUGGAUCCGCGCUGCAUUAGCUAGUUGGUAAGGUAACGGCUUACCAAGGCAACGAUGCAUAGCCGACCUGAGAGGGUGAUCGGCCACACUGGAACUGAGACACGGUCCAGACUCCUACGGGAGGCGGCAGUAGGGAAUCUUCCGCAAUGGGCGAAAGCCUGACGGAGCAACGCCGCGUGAGUGAUGAAGGUCUUCGGAUCGUAAAACUCUGUUAUUAGGGAAGAACAUAUGUGUAAGUAACUGUGCACAUCUUGACGGUACCUAAUCAGAAAGCCACGGCUAACUACGUGCCAGCAGCCGCGGUAAUACGUAGGUGGCAAGCGUUAUCCGGAAUUAUUGGGCGUAAAGCGCGCGUAGGCGGUUUUUUAAGUCUGAUGUGAAAGCCCACGGCUCAACCGUGGAGGGUCAUUGGAAACUGGAAAACUUGAGUGCAGAAGAGGAAAGUGGAAUUCCAUGUGUAGCGGUGAAAUGCGCAGAGAUAUGGAGGAACACCAGUGGCGAAGGCGACUUUCUGGUCUGUAACUGACGCUGAUGUGCGAAAGCGUGGGGAUCAAACAGGAUUAGAUACCCUGGUAGUCCACGCCGUAAACGAUGAGUGCUAAGUGUUAGGGGGUUUCCGCCCCUUAGUGCUGCAGCUAACGCAUUAAGCACUCCGCCUGGGGAGUACGACCGCAAGGUUGAAACUCAAAGGAAUUGACGGGGACCCGCACAAGCGGUGGAGCAUGUGGUUUAAUUCGAAGCAACGCGAAGAACCUUACCAAAUCUUGACAUCCUUUGACAACUCUAGAGAUAGAGCCUUCCCCUUCGGGGGACAAAGUGACAGGUGGUGCAUGGUUGUCGUCAGCUCGUGUCGUGAGAUGUUGGGUUAAGUCCCGCAACGAGCGCAACCCUUAAGCUUAGUUGCCAUCAUUAAGUUGGGCACUCUAAGUUGACUGCCGGUGACAAACCGGAGGAAGGUGGGGAUGACGUCAAAUCAUCAUGCCCCUUAUGAUUUGGGCUACACACGUGCUACAAUGGACAAUACAAAGGGCAGCGAAACCGCGAGGUCAAGCAAAUCCCAUAAAGUUGUUCUCAGUUCGGAUUGUAGUCUGCAACUCGACUACAUGAAGCUGGAAUCGCUAGUAAUCGUAGAUCAGCAUGCUACGGUGAAUACGUUCCCGGGUCU